rnacentral:rRNA from 1 species
AACGAACGCUGGCGGCGUGCCUAACACAUGCAAGUCGAGCGCUCCAUGGGCUUUCGGUUUCAUGGGGAGCGGCAGACGGGUGAGUAACACGUGGGUAACCUGCCCCUGAGUCGGGGGAUAACUACUCGAAAGGGUGGCUAAUACCGCAUAAGACCCCGAGUUUUCGGAUUUGAGGUCAAAGGCGCAAGCCGCUUGGGGAGGGGCCCGCGUCCGAUUAGCUAGUUGGUGAGGUAACGGCCCACCAAGGCGACGAUCGGUAGCUGGUCUGAGAGGAUGACCAGCCACACUGGUACUGAGACACGGACCAGACUCCUACGGGAGGCAGCAGUGGGAAUAUUGCGCAAUGGGCGAAAGCCUGACGCAGCAACGCCGCGUGGGUGAUGAAGGCCUUCGGGUCGUAAAGCCCUGUCAGAGGGGAAGAAACCUCUCCGUGAGGGGAGCUGACGGUACCCUCGGAGGAAGCACCGGCUAACUCCGUGCCAGCAGCCGCGGUAA